rnacentral:siRNA from 1 species
UAAUUCUGUUCUGAUCUUGGAUAA